GUCCAGAGGGUAGACCUCUCCUCCGAGGCCACAGAAACCAGAUGACGGGGAGUGUUUUCCUCAGAAGAACCACCGAGCACCCACGGGGAGGAAGGGGCGAGGCUCAGCGCCGCCUGCUCGCAGGGAAACCCUUAACCUGGUCUGGAAAGGAGGAGAGAGCCACAGUUCAUUUCUGAGUGAAAAAUAAGCCCGCGCUCAUGGAGUAACGCCCUCUCCCACGUGGCCUUUUAGAUUCCACACCCGAGACUCCCCAGGUGCUGUGGGGGCGUUAGGUGUCACUCCUCCAGGCCUCCUCACGGCUGGAGACAAUGAAAGUGAGGGAUUGGCGCCGCCGAUCUCCCUUCUCCAGCAGCACAAAGGG